AAGUCGUAACAAGGUUUCCGUAGGUGAACCUGCGGAAGGAUCAUUAAAUUCAGUAGCUUGCUACUGUUAGGGGGGUCCGUUAGUCUGUAUAGUAUCACUACUGAUGAGCAGCACGACCCUCUGUCUAUACCCUUGUCUUUUGCGCACUCAUGUUUCCUCGGCGGCUUGAUACCCGCCGGCUGGAUCAAUCUAUAACCUUUUUAAUUUUCAAUCAGCGUCUGAAAAACCUAAUAAUUACAACUUUCAACAACGGAUCUCUUGGUUCUG
rnacentral:misc_RNA from 2 species